CGCCGAUAUUCUGGGAUCGACGUUGUCAGUAAACAGGAAGGUAAUAUUGUGGUGGAGCGUUGGACACGUAAUCGGACGCGUGUACUCCAGUUGGGUAAACGCUGCCGAUGUCGUGAUCGUAGACUCGAUGGUGUACGCUGUGUUUCUUCUUGUAGACGCUUGGGACAUGUUCCUUUUUGUAAAAGAUCGGUCCUACCGUGGAUGAUGAUAUCGGUUGGUGAUCCUGGUACUGGACUACUCGAUGAUUAAGACUUGGAGUCUUAUAAACGUGAGAAUAUAUUUUCUGCUGCGUUUGAGGCGUUAUAGGCUUGACCCUAUUGUGAAUCUUCUUCUGAACGAUUGUUGGCGUAUACGUCUUAUAGACUGUUUGUUUCUGACCAGAUGCAACUUUGGGAAUGAUCGGUACUACAGAUUUUUUGGAAUCUGCACCUGUAUCUACUGACAAUGUUAGUUCCCAUUCAACGUUAUUUUUAGUGGAAGAGGGGAGCACUCCCAGGCCAUUACGAGUGGAGGUUUCACGAGCGUCGCUGUAUUACGAGUUGUCAUUAACCCGUAACGAGAAAGAGAAAGAGAGGUGCAGAUAGUGGAGAGAAACGGCUAAGUACGAAAAGGAGCGAGCAAGCGAGAUAAAGAUAGAGAAGAAGGGAGAAAGAGAGAAAGAAAAAGAGAGAGAGAGAGAAAGCGAGAGAGAAAGAGAGAGACAUUGGCUCUAUGGCUCUUCGAACCGCAAGAUUCAAGCUCCGAUAUACUCGACCGAGGUGAGGCACGAAGCAAUAACUGGUCAUGUCGCCCAGUAAUUCAGUAGCCAAUUAGUUAGACGGCGGCGGGAGAGUCGGCGAAGAUGUCUAUCGGUUCUCUUCGUACGAGAGGCGGCUGCUGUUGCUGCGGCAGAGCAAGAGGGAGACGAGAAGGAGGCGAGAGGAACUCUUGCACGCCUUCCUGGGCUAUACACGUACGCGUCUCGCUCUACCGUUCUCCGUGUAGGCGCACGCGCAAGCGCGAGAAGAACCGGAAGAGGCACCACGAAGAAGACCGCGAAGACGUGUGGGUAGAGAAAGCAGUAACAGCAGCAGAUCUUUCUGUAUAGCCGAUACAUCAAUGUGUAUCCACGCUAAUGAAGGAAAAAUAAAGCGAAGUAAUCGAUCAUGUCAUGAAGGGGAACAUCAAUUAUACCGGCUGACUUUUGAAAUGUUAGAAAGUACAGGACUACAUCAAAGCUCUGGCCAUAAACGUUGUUAGGGAUAACGGCGGCAGAGGUCGUGGACUCGAAGCGAGUGAUUUAGUAGGGUGGCUACUCGACGACCGACCGAGAUAACCCGCCUGUCUACGGAACAACCCCAUUUGUCCGAUAUCUUCCGAGACAAAACUGCCGCAUGUCCUUCUAACAACGCGCCCUUCUGAUUACUGACAUCACUUCGCAACCUUCACCUUUUAUCUCUGCAUUAGGCGCUACACAAGAAUCCAUCAAGAUAAAUAUAUACGUAUCAAAAAGGAUACUUUGAUAUUUUGUCCAUCAAAGUAUUUCAAAAUAUCGAAAGAAAUUCUAUUAUUUGAUAUGCAAAUUAUCAUGACAAACUAACUGUCAAUCAAACCUGUCAAAAGAGAACAUUAAUCUUAUCCUGCCAACACAAAAUCUGAGCAAGUGUAAUAUCAAUAAACUAUAAGUUUCACCAUUGCCAAUCACUAAUUUAAGUAAAGGCAACUCAAAAACGAAUCAACGAUACUCCUUAUCUCACCAAGAAAAAUUCACAAAACGAGCACAGCAUCGAAGAAGAAGACAGACAAAGUUCCACAAGGUCUCGAUAUGAGAAGCACGAAUGCCGAGAACGAAGAUCGAAGACACCGGGUGGCGGAGAGCGUCAAAGAAGAACGGAAGGAUCGGAUCUGUGGUGGAGGACAGGAAAGAAAGGACAGCGUGUGUUCCUUCGUAAAGAGUCGUGAAGGAGCACGGCGAUAUAGGGGAGAGGUUGCUGGAAAGAAAGAAGGGUGUGGAGGGGUGAGAUGAAGGAGUGGAAGGAAAAAGAGGAGAAAGAGGAUGAGAACAAGAAGGAGAAAGGGAGAGACUCGUCCUGGGCGGACGAGCUGAGGUGGGCCGUGGAUUUAUAUCCCGGUCAGGCACUUUGAGCCAUCAGCGGCUCGUUUGAUGUUCCGCCGCGGCCACGCAGACGUUAUAAAGACAAACUAUGCCUACGGCACCGUCAUGCCCUACCACUUUAUACCAUAAUUCUUCGGCCGAUCCCCGAAACGAGCGGUCGAUCUCGAAGAAACACGAAGAGGAGAGACGUACUGUCCCCCUUUUCGUAUUCCUCGUCUCUCUACACGAAGUGCGGCGCCUCUGUGUGUAAGACCGGUCCAGUUCUCUCUCUUCCAACUCUUCCCUCUCUCUAUCUGUCUCUUUCUCUGCUUUCCUGCCCCCUGCCCCUUCACUGUCCUCUCCAUCUAUCUCUUUCUCUCUGUCUCUCUCUUUCUCUUUCUCUUCUAGGUACCUCUUUCGCCCUCUCGCAAGAGCAAGUCUCCGAUUCCUUUACGGUUAGUGCCUGCGGGUAAUAAAGAUGGUUCUGCUUAUGUACAAGCGGGCAACCGGAGGCGGAGUCAGGCUGCCCUCUGUGGGCCGGGCCAACGCAAAUGACUCUUCCAUGCAAGAUGGCGUAGGCACGGAACGCUAGGCGGUGCUGCCGGUGCGUGCCCGCGAGGUGCUUUUAUAUUUAGCGCGCGCGACGUGCAGCCGACGUGCGGACUCUGAGAGAGUUCUGCAGUUCGAGCCACGUUUUAAGCUGCAAUCUUACUUUCCACGCAAAUCCAAGGGACCACAGAUUCUACGCCUAUGCCUUAACUUUUCGUUACCAUUAACGAUCGACAAAAUAGAAAUUCUUGAUUGUGGCAUUACGGUAAAUUGUACUAUUCGUUAUAAAAUAUUAUAUUCCAUUUGUUUUAGGAUUAUCCUUUUAUAGCCCAAUAUGAUCAAUGAUACAAGACUAUUUUGAUUUAUAUUAUAUAAACGUAUGAUUGUACCUUUAAUCAAGGGGUUUUAAUAUUUGUGGAUUUCCACGUCGACAUUAUAUACAUAUGUUUUAUUUUUUCCUACAUAUUUCAUUUCAUCAACCCGAAAUAUAAUGACCCAUAUCAUAUAUAAUCCCGCUAAUUGGAACAUAAUUGAACCUAUUAAUCUCACGUUAUAGAAUAAGAUUUUAAUUGAUCGAUAUUCUGUCGCUUCACAAAUCACAUUUGUAUUAUACAAUAUGUAACGUUAUUUUGCAAAAGAAAAAAAAACCUGUCGAUAUUCUAUUUUGAAUAGAUUUACUAUGAAUAAGCGGGAUCAUACAUUUUUAAUAUUAUCGAUAAAAAUUCAAUAACUUGACAUAUCCACAAAUUUGUCCUUUAAAAGACAUUCCAUGAAUUUAUUCGAUGUCGUUCGAAAUCGAAAAGCAGAGAUAUCAUGUCGUCCUGAACGACGAGAAAGGUGAAAUUUUAGUCUUUUAUACGAAGGAAUGAAUACUGACCACAAAUAAGUCAUGUCUGAACGAGGUGAAAACGAGCGCCUGAUUAAUAUCCUUCCGCUUUUUAGGUUUAUCUGUCACGCAAAUGUCUUUCUCCGUCCCGCUAUUUCUUUUUCUACCCUCUCUUUUCUUUCAACACGUUUCUCUUAUUCGCCUUCUCUCUCUGUCCCUCUCUUUCUUUCUCUCUCUUUCUC